rnacentral:lncRNA from 1 species
CUCUUUCCAACUCUCUCUUUCCACUUGAAAAGACAAAAAACCAUCGAUAUCGACUCACUAGCUCCAUUCCAAUUGUCCUUCUCCUCAUCCUAAGUCUUCAUUAAAUUCGUCCCCAUAAAAAUCUCGUUCCCUUUGAGAUCCUAUCAACAAUAGACCCUUUGAAUCGGGAUCGAGAAAGAAGCCCGCGAGCAAUCAGUUUUUGGUGUUUUGAUAGCAACCCAAUCAUACCUUACAAGAGUUUUUUUCAGUCCUCAGGUUUGACUUUCCUAGUUCACUGUAAUAAUCCAUUUCCUUCUUUUUCUCCUCUUUCUCUGGCAAGUCAUCUUAAAUUGGAAAAAGAGAAAAGAAAAAAACAGAGAAAUAUUUGCAAAACACGCGUAACGACUUGCUAACCAACAAACAAACAGAAAAUUCAAUUAUAGGGAUCUCCUUCAGUUUUGAUUCCCCUCCUUUUCCUCCUUUCACGGCGGAGGUGCUGAAGGAGGCGGCAGCGGUAGCGACGGAGGCGAAAAAGGCG